GAUGAACGCUGGCGGCGUGCCUAAUACAUGCAAGUCGAGCGAACAGAUGAGGAGCUUGCUCCUCUGACGUUAGCGGCGGACGGGUGAGUAACACGUGGAUAACCUACCUAUAAGACUGGGAUAACUUCGGGAAACCGGAGCUAAUACCGGAUAAUAUAUUGAACCGCAUGGUUCAAUAGUGAAAGACGGUUUUGCUGUCACUUAUAGAUGGAUCCGCGCCGCAUUAGCUAGUUGGUAAGGUAACGGCUUACCAAGGCGACGAUGCGUAGACGACCUGAGAGGGUGAUCGGCCACACUGGAACUGAGACACGGUCCAGACUCCUACGGGAGGCAGCAGUAGGGAAUCUUCCGCAAUGGGCGAAAGCCUGACGGAGCAACGCCGCGUGAGUGAUGAAGGUCUUCGGAUCGUAAAACUCUGUUAUUAGGGAAGAACAAAUGUGUAAGUAACUAUGCACGUCUUGACGGUACCUAAUCAGAAAGCCACGGCUAACUACGUG
rnacentral:rRNA from 1 species